AAACCGUUUAGGGGUAAACCUGAAAAACCCGAAAGGUCGAAGGGAGAAAUUCAUUCGCGUUUCGACGUAGGCGUGGAACGAGAUUGAGUGACGAAAAAUGUGUGCUUGCACGGAUUUUUCGCGCCGCUCGUUUCUCGAACCGAUGACGAACGCGUGCACUUUUCUCCUGGUAGGACGUCGCGAUCCGUUGGGUGUCGGUCUACGGCUCGCGGUGGAGCCCGUUUGUCAUUAAUUUGCGAACGGACCCGCGUUGUUCCCGGCCGACUCGCUCGACGGUAUAAGAAAGGUUUGAGGCCGCUCUUCUGGAGCGUUCGACUCGCGGCAAGCGCGUCAGAUGCGUUGGCGAUCGGACCUAGUGCCGAUUCUGACCUCUGAUGACUGUUGGCUGCGAAGUUCUCGAACAGACCUCUCGACCGAUCUGCGACGCUAUAGCGUUGGGUACUUUCAGGA
rnacentral:rRNA from 1 species